rnacentral:rRNA from 1 species
GAAACCAACCGGGAUUGCCCCAGUAACGGCGAGUGAAGCGGCAACAGCUCAAAUUUGAAAUCUGGCUCCCCGCGGGGUCCGAGUUGUAAUUUGUAGAGGAUGUUUCGGGUGACGGACCGGCCUAAGUUCCUUGGAACAGGGCGUCAUAGAGGGUGAGAAUCCCGUCUGUGGUYSGCCMMCGGRWMCCCGCCAGAAACUCCUUCGACGAGUCGAGUUGUUUGGGAAUGCAGCUCUAAAUGGGUGGUAAAUUUCAUCUAAAGCUAAAUACCGGCCGGAGACCGAUAGCGCACAAGUAGAGUGAUCGAAAGAUGAAAAGCACUUUGGAAAGAGAGUCAAACAGUAUGUGAAAUUGUUGAAAGGGAAGCGCCUGCGACCAGACCCGUCUCCGGGCGAUCACCCGCCGUUCGYGGCGGGGUACUCGCCCGGUAGCGGGCCAGCAUCGGUUUGGGCGGCCGGACAAAGGCCCCGGAAAUGUACCUUCCCCCCGGGGAAGACUUAUAGCCCGGGGUGCAAUGCGGCCAGCCGAGACCGAGGACCGCGCUUCGGCUAGGAUGCUGGCGUAAUGGUCGUAGGCGGCCCGUCUUGAAACACGGACCAAGGAGUCUAACAUCUAUGCGAGUGUUUGGGUGUCAAACCCAUGCGCGCAAUGAAAGUGAACGGAGGUGGGACCCCGUCCGGGCGCAUCAUCGACCGAUCCAGAUGUCUUCGGAUGGAUUUGAGUACGAGCAUAGCUGUUGGGACCCGAAAGAUGGUGAACUACACAUGGAUAGGGUGAAGCCAGAGGAAACUCUGGUGGAGGCUCGCAGCGGUUCUGACGUGCAAAUCGAUCGUCAAAUCAGUGUGUAGGGGCGAAAGACUUAUCGAACCAUUGACCCCGGACUUGCUC